AUGUCACAAAUUAUUUGGUAAUGAAUUUUCUUGUAUUAAAUGUGUUUGGAGAUCCAACCGUCGAAAUGACUGGAAAUCAUGAAAAAUAUAAUUAUACAAUAUUCAAAAAAGAUAUGAAAGAAUAUUAAUAUGAUAAUUUAGGAAGUUUAACAUUUU
rnacentral:sRNA from 1 species